CGCCUCCACGGCGUGCUGCAGGAUGGAGGUGAACUUGGAGAACAUCCUGUCCCGCGACUGCAGCAGCCGCUGCCGGGACGACCGCGAGAGCUCCUCGAUCCGCCGCCGGCGCCGCUCCAGGACGUGGAAAGCUACAGUCCAAGUACUGUAUGGAAAUAAACACUGUACAUGGACACCUUUACGGGAGUUGCUAAGGAGCAGAGCUAGCUAUUUCCAUCUGAAAAUGCAGACAUAUCAAAUAACAUACAUUUUAAAGAUACUAUUUGGGAGCUUGCACUGUUUCUGAAGAAAGUGUGGAUUUAAAGCACACGUGCUUGGUUAAGCUGUCUAAUUUAAAAUGAAGAGCUUCCUGAAGUCUGGACUUUUGCUUCAGAAAGGCUGAGGAUUUGGAAUGUACAUUUCUGUACCCCAGAGUGAAAACAUGCUAGUGGAGCUGAUAUCUGUUUAUAUUCUGUGCAGGAAUUUAUUGUGUUUAUAAUAACCAGGUGGACAUGUAUGUUUUCAGUGACUACUUGGAUGAAAUAAAGAAUGAAGUGUUAGUGGC